UACAGAGGUCCCAAGCGUUGUUCGGAUUCAUUGGGCGUAAAGGGUGCGUAGGUGGCGCUGUAAGUCGGGUGUGAAAUUUCGGAGCUUAACUCCGAAACUGCAUUCGAUACUGCGGUGCUUGAGGACUGGAGAGGAGACUGGAAUUCAUGGUGUAGCAGUGAAAUGCGUAGAGAUCAUGAGGAAGACCAGUGGCGAAGGCGGGUCUCUGGACAACACCUGACACUGAGGCACGAAAGCUAGGGGAGCAAGCAGG
rnacentral:rRNA from 1 species